rnacentral:rRNA from 1 species
GACGAACGCUGGCGGCGUGCCUAACACAUGCAAGUCGAACGGGGUCCAUGGGAGCUUGCUCCCGGAAGACCUAGUGGCGAACGGGUGAGUAACACGUGGGCAACCUGCCCCAGACACCGGGAUAACCAUCCGAAAGGAUGGCUAAUACCGGAUAUGACCACUUUGGGCAUCCAACGGUGGUGGAAAGGAUUCUGGUCUGGGAUGGGCCCGCGGCCUAUCAGCUAGUUGGUGGGGUAAUGGCCUACCAAGGCGACGACGGGUAGCCGGCCUGAGAGGGCGACCGGCCACACUGGGACUGAGACACGGCCCAGACUCCUACGGGAGGCAGCAGUGGGGAAUAUUGCGCAAUGGGCGAAAGCCUGACGCAGCGACGCCGCGUGAGGGACGAAGGUCUUCGGAUUGUAAACCUCUUUCAGCAGGGACGAAGCGAAAGUGACUGUACCUGCAGAAGAAGCACCGGCUAACUACGUG